rnacentral:rRNA from 1 species
GCGACGUCGCUAUGAACGCUUGGCCGUCACAAGCGAGUUAUCCCUGUGGUAACUUUUCUGACACCUCUUGUUGAAAACUCUUCAAGCCAAAAGGAUCGAUAGGCCGUGCUUUCGCAGUCCCUAUGCGUACUG